UACGUAGGGGGCGAGCGUUAUCCGGAUUCACUGGGCGUAAAGGGGGCGCAGACGGCGAUGCAAGCCAGGAGUGAAAGCCCGGGGCCCAACCCCGGGACUGCUCUUGGAACUGCGUGGCUGGAGUGCAGGAGGGGCAGGCGGAAUUCCUGGUGUAGCGGUGAAAUGCGUAGAUAUCAGGAGGAACACCGGUGGCGAAGGCGGCCUGCUGGACUGCAACUGACGUUGAGGCCCGAAAGCGUGGGGAGCAAACAGG
rnacentral:rRNA from 1 species